rnacentral:pre_miRNA from 1 species
UAUAAGAGAUUUUGAGUUUUUGUUUGCACUCUUUGAUCACUCGUCUUAUUCAAAAUUUUUGGAAUUAUUAUUUAUUUUUUUGUGACUUGUUUUAUUAUCCAAAGUACUUCAAACACAACUUUUUAUUUUUUAUAUUUGUACAAAUUUUUUGAAUAAGACGAGUGGUUAAACAGUGCAAACAAAAACUCA